rnacentral:rRNA from 1 species
UACAGAGGAGCCAAGCGUUGUCCGGAUUGACUGGGCGUAAAGCGCACGCAGGCGGUUGCGCGCGUGGGGUGUGAAAUCUGGCCGCUUAACGGCCAGGCGCCAUCCCAUACGGCACAACUGGAGGGCUGCAGAGGUCGAUGGAAUUGCCGGUGUAGUGGUGAAAUUCGUAGAUAUUCGCAAGAACACCAGUGGCGAAGGCGGCUCACUGGCCCGAUACUGACGCUGAGGCACGAAAGCGUGGGGAGCAAACAGG